rnacentral:rRNA from 1 species
GGGGUUGACGGUACCCUACUAGAAAGGAGCCGCUAACUUCGUGCCAGAAGCGUCGGUAAUACGGGGGCUCCAAGCGUUAUCCGGUGUUAUUGGGCGUAAAGAGUCGUGUAGGUGGUUGGGUAAGUUAUCUUUCAAAUAUCUUUGCUUAACAAAGAGGAGGGGGGUAAUACUGCUCGACUAGAAUUUUCUCAAGGGAGAUCGGAACUGAGGGAGGAGUAGUGAAAUGCGUUGAUACCCUCGGGAACACCAGUGGCGUAGGCGGAUCUCUGGGAGAAGAUUGACACUGAGACACGAAAGCUAGGGGAGCGAAGCAGAUUAGAGACCUGCGUAGUCCUAGCCGUAAACGCAUGCUUGCUAGCUGCAUGAGUCUACCUUCGGGUGGUAUCGUGUGGCGAAGGUAACCCGUUAAGCAAGCCGCCUGGAAAGUACGGCCGCAAGGCUGAAAUUCAAAGGAAUUGGCGGGGAGGCACACAACCAGUGGAACAUGUGGUUUAAUUCGAGACUAACCGAAGAACCUCACCAGGGUUUGACAUGUAGCUGCACGUCUUAAGAAAUUAAGACUCUCUUGAAGGUGCUACACAGGUGCUGCAUGGCUGUCGUCAGCUCGUUCCGUGAGGAGUGCCCUUAAGUGGGACAACGAGCGCAACCCCUAUUACAUGUUAGAAAUGUCAUGUAAGACUGCCUUGCCAUUUGGCGGGGAGGAAGGAGGGGCAGACGUCAAGUCCGCAUGGUCCUUAUGCCCUGGGCUACACACAUGUUACAAUGAGUACGGCAAUGAGUCUGUCGCGAGCACGUAAGUGUAAGCUAAUCUCUUAAAUGUACUCUCAGUGGGGAUUGAGGUCUGCAACUCGGCCUCAUGAACACGGAAUUGGUAGUAAUCGCGGGUCAGCUAUACCGCGGUGAUACGUUCUUGCCUCUUGCACACACCGCCCGUCAAACCAGCAAAGUCGAUUGUAUCCGAACCUCUCUUUU